CGUACACUCCUGCGGGAGGCAGCAGUGGGGAAUAUUGGACAAUGGGCGCAAGCCUGAUCCAGCCAUGCCGCGUGAGUGAUGAAGGCCCUAGGGUUGUAAAGCUCUUUUGUGCGGGAAGAUAAUGACGGUACCGCAAGAAUAAGCCCCGGCUAACUUCGUGCCAGCAGCCGCGGUAAUACGAAGGGGGCUAGCGUUGCUCGGAAUCACUGGGCGUAAAGGGUGCGUAGGCGGGUCUUUAAGUCAGGGGUGAAAUCCUGGAGCUCAACUCCAGAACUGCCUUUGAUACUGAAGAUCUUGAGUUCGGGAGAGGUGAGUGGAACUGCGAGUGUAGAGGUGAAAUUCGUAGAUAUUCGCAAGAACACCAGUGGCGAAGGCGGCUCACUGGCCCGAUACUGACGCUGAGGCACGAAAGCGUGGGGAGCAAACAGGAUUAGAUACCCGGGUAGUCCCAUGAU
rnacentral:rRNA from 1 species